rnacentral:rRNA from 1 species
UGGGGAAUAUUGGACAAUGGGCGCAAGCCUGAUCCAGCCAUGCCGCGUGAGUGAUGAAGGCCUUAGGGUUGUAAAGCUCUUUUGUGCGGGAAGAUAAUGACGGUACCGCAAGAAUAAGCCCCGGCUAACUUCGUGCCAGCAGCCGCGGUAAUACGAAGGGGGCUAGCGUUGCUCGGAAUCACUGGGCGUAAAGGGUGCGUAGGCGGGUUUUUAAGUCAGGGGUGAAAUCCUGGAGCUCAACUCCAGAACUGCCUUUGAUACUGAAGAUCUUGAGUCCGGGAGAGGUGAGUGGAACUGCGAGUGUAGAGGUGAAAUUCGUAGAUAUUCGCAAGAACACCAGUGGCGAAGGCGGCUCACUGGCCCGGUACUGACGCUGAGGCACGAAAGCGUGGGGAGCAAACAGGAUUAGAUACCCUGGUAGUCCACGCCGUAAACGAUGGAUGCUAGCCGUUGGCGGGUUUACUCGUCAGUGGCGCAGCUAACGCAUUAAGCAUCCCGCCUGGGGAGUACGGUCGCAAGAUUA